rnacentral:rRNA from 1 species
UACGUAGGGGGCAAGCGUUGUCCGGAAUUAUUGGGCGUAAAGCGCGCGCAGGCGGUCAUUUAAGUCUGGUGUUUAAUCCUGGGGCUCAACCCCGGGUCGCACUGGAAACUGGGUGGCUUGAGUACAGAAGAGGAGAGUGGAAUUCCACGUGUAGCGGUGAAAUGCGUAGAUAUGUGGAGGAACACCAGUGGCGAAGGCGACUCUCUGGGCUGUAACUGACACUGAGGCGCGAAAGCGUGGGGAGCAAACAGG